GAUGAACGCUGGCGGCGUGCCUAAUACAUGCAAGUCGAGCGAACGGACGAGAAGCUUGCUUCUCUGAUGUUAGCGGCGGACGGGUGAGUAACACGUGGAUAACCUACCUAUAAGACUGGGAUAACUUCGGGAAACCGUAGCUAAUACCGGAUAAUAUUUUAAACCGCAUGGUUCAAAAGUGAAAGACGGUCUUGCUGUCACUUAUAGAUGGAUCCGCGCUGCAUUAGCUAGUUGGUAAGGUAACGGCUUACCAAGGCAACGAUGCAUAGCCGACCUGAGAGGCUGAUCGGCGACACGAGAACGGAGACACGCACAAGACUCCUACGGGAGGCAGCAGUAGGGAAUCUUCCGCAAUGGGCGAAAGCCUGACGGAGCAACGCCGCGUGAGUGAUGAAGGUGUUCGGAUCGUAAAACUCUGUUAUUAGGGAAGAACAUAUGUGUAAGUAACUGUGCACAUCUUGACGGUACCUAAUCAGAAAGCCACGGCUAACUACGUG
rnacentral:rRNA from 1 species